rnacentral:rRNA from 1 species
UGUUCGUUAUUUAGGGCGCAUGGUGGAUGCCUUGGCAUGCUGAGCCGAUGAAGGACGUGUAAGGCUGCGUUAAGCCUCGGGGAGUUGUCAAUUGAGCGUUGAUCCGAGGAUGUCCGAAUGGGGAAACCCCGCCAUCGUUAUUGGUGGUGACCUUUCAGUGAAUUCAUAGCUGUUGUGGGGGUGUACGCGGGGAAGUGAAACAUCUCAGUACCCGUAGGAGGAGAAAAUAAUAAUGAUUCUGCUAGUAGUGGCGAACGAACGUGGAUGAGGCUAAACCGUGUGCAUGUGAUACCUGGUAGGGGUUGUGUGUGCGGUGUUGUGGGCCCUGAUGUCUGGUAGCUACUGAUGCCGGGCUUGUGUGUUGUUGUUAGGUGAAGUGGUUUGGAAUGACCCGCCGUAGAAGGUGAGAGCCCUGUAGGUGAAGAUGAUGGUGUGCAAGUUGUUGGGUUGCCCGAGUAGCAGCGGGCUCGUGGAAUCUGCUGUGAAUCUGCCGGGACCACCCGGUAAGCCUAAAUACUCAGUGUGACCGAUAGUGAAUAGUACCGUGAGGGAAUGGUGAAAAGUACCCCGGGAGGGGAGUGAAAUAGUUCCUGAAACCAUGUGCUUACAAUCCGUUAGAGCACCUUUUGUGUGUGAUGGCGUGCCUUUUGAAGAAUGAGCCUGCGAGUCAGCGGCAUGUCGCGAGGUUAACCCGUGUGGGGUAGCCGUAGGGAAACCGAAUCCUAAUGGGGUGUUUUUAGUGGCAUGUCCUGGACCCGAAGCGGGGUGAUCUACCCAUGGCCAGUGUGAAGCAG